UUAUAUAUAAAAUUAAACUAUAAAAUAUAAAUGUAUUAGAAAAUGAUACAAUUUGCAAAACUUUUAUAUAUAAAAAAUAAUUCUUAAAUUUUAAAAAUUACUAUUUUAAAAAAAAUUACGGGACGGGUAAAAAAAUUACAGAACGGGUUUUAUUUUGGAAUUGGGUUAUAUGGUAGAUGUAUUUGAAUCAAUAUUUAUAAAAUUUUAAAAUAUGUUUAAUAUGCUGUUUUAAUAGGGGUUAAAACUUCAAAUUUUUAACAAUUGUCUCAUGGAUUCGUGGUAUAGCGUUACUUAAUAACAAUUAUAAACUGUAAAAUAUAAAUAUUUUAUAAAA
rnacentral:sRNA from 1 species